CAGUCGCCGCGGUAAUACGUAGGGCGCAAGCGUUGUCCGGAAUUAUUGGGCGUAAAGAGCUCGUAGGCGGUCUGUCGCGUCUGGUGUGAAAUCCCGAGGUUGAGCCUCGGGCUUGCAUCGGGUACGGGCAGACUAGAGUGCGGUAGGGGAGACUGGAAUUCCUGGUGUAGCGGUGGAAUGCGCAGAUAUCAGGAGGAACACCGAUGGCGAAGGCAGGUCUCUGGGCCGCAACUGACGCUGAGGAGCGAAAGCAUGGGGAGCGAACAGGAUUAGAUACCCGUGUAGUCCCUGUCUCUUAUAA
rnacentral:rRNA from 1 species